CACACUGCCGAGAAAAGCCUCUAGAUAGAAAAUAGGUGCCCGUACCGCAAACCGACACAGGUAGUCAAGAUGAGAAUUCUAAGGUGAGCGAGCGAACUCUCGUUAAGGAACUCGGCAAAAUGACCCCGUAACUUCGGGAGAAGGGGUGCUCUUUAGGGUUAACGCCCAGAAGAGCCGCAGUGAAUAGGCCCAAGCGACUGUUUAUCAAAAACACAGGUCUCUGCUAAACCGUAAGGUGAUGUAUAGGGGCUGACGCCUGCCCGGUGCUGGAAGGUUAAGAGGAGUGGUUAGCUUCUGCGAAGCUACGAAUCGAAGCCCCAGUAAACGGCGGCCGUAACUAUAACGGUCCUAAGGUAGCGAAAUUCCUUGUCGGGUAAGUUCCGACCCGCACGAAAGGCGUAACGAUUUGGGCACUGUCUCAACGAGAGACUCGGUGAAAUCAUAGUACCUGUGAAGAUGCAGGUUACCCGCGACAGGACGGAAAGACCCCGUGGAGCUUUACUGUAGCCUGAUAUUGAAAUUCGGCACAGCUUGUACAGGAUAGGUAGGAGCCUUUGAAACGUGAGCGCUAGCUUACGUGGAGGCGCUGGUGGGAUACUACCCUAGCUGUGUUGGCUUUCUAACCCGCACCACUUAUCGUGGUGGGAGACAGUGUCAGGCGGGCAGUUUGACUGGGGCGGUCGCCUCCUAAAAGGUAACGGAGGCGCUCAAAGGUUCCCUCAGAAUGGUUGGAAAUCAUUCAUAGAGUGUAAAGGCAUAAGGGAGCUUGACUGCGAGACCUACAAGUCGAG
rnacentral:rRNA from 1 species